rnacentral:rRNA from 1 species
UACGAAGGGGGCUAGCGUUGUUCGGAAUUACUGGGCGUAAAGGGCGCGCAGGCGGUCAACCAAGUCAGAUGUGAAAUCCCCGGGCUCAACCUGGGAACUGCAUUUGUGACUGUAUAGCUAGAGUACGGGUAGAGGGGGAUGGAAUUCCGCGUGUAGCAGUGAAAUGCGUAGAUAUGCGGAGGAACACCGAUGGCGAAGGCAAUCCCCUGGACCUGUACUGACGCUCAUGCACGAAAGCGUGGGGAGCAAACAGG